AAGUCGUAACAAGGUUUCCGUAGGUGAACCUGCGGAAGGAUCAUUACCAAAUCCAAAUUACUUAACCCCAUGUGAACUAUUGUUUUAGUCUGUCUUUGGGAGAAACUUCUUUUUUUUUUAAGUGUUUCGUUGACACGCGAUUAAAAUAGUUUCUCCCAAUAGAGUCCGGCAUAACUGUAUGGUUGUGUCCAGAUUCGAAAAACACCCACUAUUAAACCACUUGAUUUAUCUGUUGGAAUUUUUUUUAUUAAAUUAUCAAUAAAAGACAACUUUUAACGGCGGAUCUCUUGGCUCGUG
rnacentral:misc_RNA from 1 species